CUCACCGUCCCCUCAAAAAAAAAAAAUCUCCCCGUCUUUUCCUAAUCUACUGCGGGCGGUUUUUAUUUGGCGUGCUGCUCGGCGGCGCGGUCUUCGAUGGCGUGGUCGCUGGGGCAAUUGGGCGGCGUCUCCCUAGGUCUUGGGCGGUGUUGUUGCUGGUGAUCGCGGCGGCUCUCCAGUGCAUGGGUUGGUAUGUGACUGCAUCUCCGCUGUUUGGAUUGAAGUUUGGUUGGGUGUGAGUGCACGGGAUGAGGUGAGCAACCCCAAAUCUAGCGAUUUCCGUUCUAAAAUUCCAAUUAUAUCCCACUUACGUUUCCCUUCGUCAUUCUCUUUCCAAAUUGUUUUUUGUGCAUUUGAGCGUUCCGAUCUGCUCGCUCCGGUGCCCCGCGAGGUCCCAAUUUGACUACAAGCCGGUGGAUGGUUCUCCCGAUGGUGGAAUUGAAGGGGCCCCAAUGGAUAAGGACGUGACAGGCAAGCUGGAGGCCACCACUACCAGCGUCCUCAAGCUCUACCACUAAUCAUUUAUCUAGCACACAUCACCACCUGGGUUAUGUGGCUCAGCGCAUGGAGUAAUUAGAUGGUCCUUCUCCUGUGAUUUACUAGAUUGUCAGCAAUGAUUCAAAGGUAGCGUAACAAGCAUAAGUAGAUACCGACCCAGACAAAGAAACCCACUAAAGAGAUGGCAGUAGUCUUGGUUGCUUAUCCUGAAGUUCAUGAUCCUGCAUGCGAGCAAAGGAUGUGAUAAGCGCAGUUUUGUCUCUGUAGUUUUGUCUCUAUAGUUUUGUAGACUUCAUUCAUCAUGACGAUUUUAUGGAGUCUGAACAAUGUGUAGCUGCAAUGGAGGUUCCAGGAAGACUUCAAGAUGCUAGGCAUCAACCAUUUUGAGGUCGUUUUAGCAAGACAUGAUGUUUCAGUGCAUAUAGUGCAGUGUAACAUAUCAAGUCAGUUUGUUUCUGUAAUUAUACGGCCUUGUCCAUAUGUUUUACCCCAACCAUCAGUAUUUUGCAUGAUGCCCUAGGUAAUUUGUGUUCAGAAAAUUUACAUUGUGUA